AGGACGAACGCUGGCGGCGUGCUUAACACAUGCAAGUCGAGCGGAAAGGCCCUUUCGGGGGUACUCGAGCGGCGAACGGGUGAGUAACACGUGAGUAACCUGCCUUCAGCUUUGGGAUAACCCUCGGAAACGGGGGCUAAUACCGGGUAUUCACUCUGGGGGGCAUCUUCUGGGGUGGAAAGUUUUUCGGCUGGAGAUGGGCUCGCGGCCUAUCAGCUUGUUGGUGGGGUAAUGGCCUACCAAGGCGGCGACGGGUAG
rnacentral:rRNA from 1 species